rnacentral:tRNA from 1 species
UUAAUUGAAGCCAAAAAGAGGCGUAUCUUUGUUAAUGAUAAAAUUGAAUAAUUAUUCCAAUUAAG